AGCGAACGGACGAGAAGCUUGCUUCUCUGAUGUUAGCGGCGGACGGGUGAGUAACACGUGGAUAACCUACCUAUAAGACUGGGAUAACUUCGGGAAACCGGAGCUAAUACCGGAUAAUAUUUUGAACCGCAUGGUUCAAAAGUGAAAGACGGUCUUGCUGUCACUUAUAGAUGGAUCCGCGCUGCAUUAGCUAGUUGGUAAGGUAACGGCUUACCAAGGCAACGAUGCAUAGCCGACCUGAGAGGGUGAUCGGCCACACUGGAACUGAGACACGGUCCAGACUCCUACGGGAGGCAGCAGUAGGGAAUCUUCCGCAAUGGGCGAAAGCCUGACGGAGCAACGCCGCGUGAGUGAUGAAGGUCUUCGGAUCGUAAAACUCUGUUAUUAGGGAAGAACAUAUGUGUAAGUAACUGUGCACAUCUUGACGGUACCUAAUCAGAAAGCCACGGCU
rnacentral:rRNA from 1 species